rnacentral:rRNA from 1 species
CCUACGGGAGGCAGCAGUGAGGAAUAUUGGUCAAUGGACGAGAGUCUGAACCAGCCAAGUAGCGUGCAGGAUGACUGCCCUAUGGGUUGUAAACUUCUUUUAUAUGGGAAUAAAAUGUUCCACGUGUGGGAUUUUGUAUGUACCAUAUGAAUAAGGACCGGCUAACUCCGUGCCAGCAGCCGCGGUAAUACGGAGGAUCCGAGCGUUAUCCGGAUUUAUUGGGUUUAAAGGGAGCGUAGGUGGAUUGUUAAGUCAGUUGUGAAAGUUUGCGGCUCAACCGUAAAAUUGCAGUUGAAACUGGCAGUCUUGAGUACAGUAGAGGUGGGCGGAAUUCGUGGUGUAGCGGUGAAAUGCUUAGAUAUCACGAAGAACUCCGAUUGCGAAGGUAGUUCACUGGACUGCAACUGACACUGAGGCUCGAAAGUGUGGGUAUCAAACAGGAUUAGAUACCCCUGUAGUC